rfam:Oryza rufipogon genomic scaffold, chr07
AAAAAGGCAAACCCUGAGUUUCCGUGCCAACGUUUGACUAUCCGUCUUAUAUGAAAUUUUUUUAUAAUUAAUAUUUUCAUUGUUGUUAGAUGAUAAAAUAUGAUUAAUACUUUAUGCGUGACUUAUAUUUUUAAUUUUUUUUAUAAUUUUUUCGAAAAAGACGGACGGUCAAACGUUGGAUACGGAAACCAAGCUUUGUCUUUUUU